rnacentral:miRNA from 1 species
ACGUUGAAAACACCUGGAAAGA